rnacentral:rRNA from 1 species
UGAGCAAUCUGCCCUUCUCUUCGGAAUAAGCGUUGGAAACGACGUCUAAUGCCGAAUACGACCUCCUUUCGCAUGAUCGGAGGUGGAAAGCUCCGGCGGAGAAGGAUGAGCUCGCGGCCUAUCAGCUAGUUGGUGUGGGUAAUGGCCCACCAAGGCGACGACGGGUAGCCGGCCUGAGAGGGUGACCGGCCACACUGGGACUGAGACACGGCCCAGACUCCUACGGGAGNAGCG